rnacentral:lncRNA from 1 species
CUGUUUUUAUUUAAUUCUUGUAACUCUUCUUCCAUAACCACUCUCCACUCGGGUGAUUUAAAAGUCUUCUUUACAAAUUUUGGUUCUUCCACAUUUGCUAAUAUAGAAAUCAAAUUGAUAAUAUACAAAUUUAUAUGGAACGAGAAGAGAGGCAUCGGUUGGAAGCACAUGGUGAGGCCAAAGGAUGAAGGUGGGAUAACACUUCGAGACCUACAUCUCCUCAACAUAGCAUAUGC